UACAGAGGGUGCAAGCGUUAAUCGGAAUUACUGGGCGUAAAGCGCGCGUAGGCGGCUGAUUAAGUCGGAUGUGAAAGCCCCCGGGCUCAACCUGGGAACUGCAUUCGAUACUGAUCGGCUAGAGUAUGAGAGAGGGAGGUAGAAUUCCACGUGUAGCGGUGAAAUGCGUAGAUAUGUGGAGGAAUACCGGUGGCGAAGGCGGCCUCCUGGCUUAAUACUGACGCUGAGGUGCGAAAGCGUGGGGAGCAAACAGG
rnacentral:rRNA from 1 species